rnacentral:rRNA from 1 species
AUGGAUAGGAGAACAUUUCAUAUAUUAUGUGAGAUGGUGAGAGAUGUUGGUGGCCUAAGGGGUACAAGGAAUACAUCAUUGGAGGAGAUAGUGGCAUCAUUCCUUUAUGUAUUAGCUCACCAUUUGAAAAAUAGGAUAGUAGGGAAAUUCUUUUACCGAAGCCUGGAGCCAGUUAGUAGGAACUUCAAUGCUUGUCUUCUAGCUGUUUUGAAGCUUCAUCCAUUGCUACUUAAGAAACCAGAACCUAUACCCGAGGACUGCACAGAUGGUAAAUGGAAAUAUUUCAAGAAUUGUCUUGGAGCGUUAGAUGGCACACACAUAGGGGUAACCGUCCCGGCUACUAUCAAAGGAAGAUACCUAUCAAGCUUGGGUGAUAUAGAUACAAAUGUGUUAGGUGUGUGCACCUGA